rnacentral:rRNA from 1 species
GAUGAACGCUGGCGGCGUGCCUAAUACAUGCAAGUCGAGCGAAGCGGGGACGGGUGAGUAACACGUGGAUAACCUCCUAUAAGACUGGGAUAACUUCGGGAAACCGGAGCUAAACCGGAUAAUUAUCGCUGGAUCCGCGCUGCAUUAUCUAGUUGGUAAGGUAACGGCUUACCAAGGCAACGAUGCAUAGCCGACCUGAGAGUGUGAUCGGCAAAACUGCAACUGAGACACGGUCCAGACUCCUACGGGAGGCAGAAGUAGGGAAGCUUCCGCAAUGGGCGAAAGCCUGACGGAGUAACGCCGCGUGAGUGAUGAAGGUCUUCGGAUCGUAAAACUCUGUUAUUAGGGAAGCGGUACCUAAUCAGAAAGCAACGGCUAACUACGUGCCAGCAGCCGCGGUAAUAC